rnacentral:tRNA from 1 species
GGAGUUGUGGCUCAGUGGUAGAGUGCUUGCCUAGAGAGUGUGAGGCACUGAGUUUGAUCCUCAGCACCA